rnacentral:rRNA from 1 species
CCUACGGGAGGCAGCAGUGGGGAAUAUUGCACAAUGGGGGAAACCCUGAUGCAGCGACGCCGCGUGAGCGAGGAAGUAUUUCGGUAUGUAAAGCUCUAUCAGCAGGGACGAAAAAAGACGGUACCUGACUAAGAAGCCCCGGCUAACUACGUGCCAGCAGCCGCGGUAAUACGUAGGGGGCAAGCGUUAUCCGGAUUUACUGGGUGUAAAGGGAGCGUAGACGGAAAGGCAAGCCAGAAGGGAAAGGGCAGUGCUCAACCCUGUACAUGCUUUUGGAACUGUGGUUCUAGAGUGCAGGAGAGGUAAGUGGAAUUCCUAGUGUAGCGGUGAAAUGCGUAGAUAUUAGGAGGAACACCAGUGGCGAAGGCGGCUUACUGGACUGUAACUGACGUUGAGGCUCGAAAGCGUGGGGAGCAAACAGGAUUAGAUACCCUGGUAGUC